UACGUAGGGGGCAAGCGUUGUCCGGAUUUAUUGGGCGUAAAGAGCGUGUAGGCGGCCAGACAGGUCCGUUGUGAAAACUCGAGGCUCAACCUCGAGAUGUCGAUGGAAACCGUCUGGCUAGAGUCCGGAAGAGGAGUGUGGAAUUCCUGGUGUAGCGGUGAAAUGCGCAGAUAUCAGGAAGAACACCUAUGGCGAAGGCAGCACUCUGGGCCGGUACUGACGCUGAGGAGCGAAAGCGUGGGGAGCAAACAGG
rnacentral:rRNA from 1 species